GCAACGACAUUCGGACCGUCGGUCUACCGAGCAAUAUCACCCGCUCGGUGGAAGAUCUUCCCUUCGACGUUACUU
rnacentral:pre_miRNA from 1 species